GUCCAACUGACGAGUUCCAAAUAGAACGAAGCUCACGUUCUGGAU
rnacentral:hammerhead_ribozyme from 1 species